rnacentral:rRNA from 1 species
UACGGGGGGGGCAAGCGUUGUUCGGAAUUACUGGGCGUAAAGGGUUCGUAGGUGGCUUGCUAAGUCAGACGUGAAAUCCCCGGGCUUAACCUGGGAACUGCAUUUGUGACUGCAUAGCUAGAGUACGGUAGAGGGGGAUGGAAUUCCGCGUGUAGCAGUGAAAUGCGUAGAUAUGCGGAGGAACACCGAUGGCGAAGGCAGUCCCCUGGACCUGUACUGACGCUCAUGCACGAAAGCGUGGGGAGCAAACAGG